rnacentral:rRNA from 1 species
GAUGAACGCUGGCGGCGUGCCUAAUACAUGCAAGUCGAGCGAACAGACGAGGAGCUUGCUCCUCUGACGUUAGCGGCGGACGGGUGAGUAACACGUGGAUAACCUACCUAUAAGACUGGGAUAACUUCGGGAAACCGGAGCUAAUACCGGAUAAUAUAUUGAACCGCAUGGUUCAAUAGUGAAAGACGGUUUUGCUGUCACUUAUAGAUGGAUCCGCGCCGCAUUAGCUAGUUGGUAAGGUAACGGCUUACCACGGCAACGAUGCGUAGCCGACCUGAGAGGGUGAUCGGCCACACGGGAACUGAGACACGGUCCAGACUCCUACGGGAGGCAGCAGUAGGGAAUCUUCCGCAAUGGGCGAAAGCCUGACGGAGCAACGCCGCGUGAGUGAUGAAGGUCUUCGGAUCGUAAAACUCUGUUAUUAGGGAAGAACAAAUGUGUAAGUAACUAUGCACGUCUUGACGGUACCUAAUCAGAAAGCCACGGCUAACUACGUG